rnacentral:rRNA from 1 species
UACGUAGGGUGCGAGCGUUGUCCGGAAUUAUUGGGCGUAAAGAGCUCGUAGGCGGUCUGUCGCGUCGGAUGUGAAAGCCCGGGGCUUAACUCCGGGUCUGCAUUCGAUACGGGCAGACUAGAGGUAGGCAGGGGAGAGCGGAGCUCCUGGUGUAGCGGUGGAGUGCGCAGAUAUCAGGAAGAACACCAGUGGCGAAGGCGGCUCACUGGCCCGAUACUGACGCUGAAGCACGAAAGCGUGGGGAGCAAACAGG